rnacentral:rRNA from 1 species
GAUGAACGCUGGCGGCGUGCCUAAUACAUGCAAGUCGAACGCUGGAGGAGGAGCUUGCUCUUCUGGAUGAGUUGCGAACGGGUGAGUAACGCGUAGGUAACCUGCCUGGUUGCGGGGGAUAACUCUUGGAAACGCUAGCUAAUACAGCAUGACAACAGUUAUUGCAUGAUAAUUGUAUAAAAGGGGCAAUUGCUCCACUACCAGAUGGACCUGCGUUGUAUUAGCUAGUUGGUGAGGUAACGGCGCACCAAAGCGACGAUAAUUAACCGACCUGAGAGGGGGAACGGCCACACUGGGACUGAGACACGGCCCAGACUCCUACGGGAGGCAGCAGUAGGGAAUCUUCGGGAAUUGACGGAAGGCUGACCGAGCAACGCCGCGUGAGGGAAGAAGGUUUUCGGAUCGUAAAGCUCUGUUGUAAGAGAAGAACGAGUGGGAGAGUGGAAAGUUCACACUGUGACGGUAUCUAACCAGAAAGGGACGGCUAACUACGUG